rnacentral:rRNA from 1 species
AUUGAACGCUGGCGGCAGGCCUAACACAUGCAAGUCGAGCGGAGCGGCGGACGGGUGAGUAAUGCCUAGGAAUCUGCCUGGUAGUGGGGGAUAACGUCCGGAAACGGGCGCUAAUAUUGCAUACUAUCAGAUGAGCCUAGGUCGGAUUAGCUAGAUGGUGGGGUAAAGGCCUACCAAGGCGACGAUCCGUAACUGGUCUGAGAGGAUGAUCAGUCACACUGGAACUGAGACACGGUCAAGACUCCUACGGUAGGCAGCAGUGGAGAAUAUAGUACAAUGAGCGAAAGCCUGAUCCAGCCAUGCCGCGUGUGUUAAGAAGUUCUUCGGAUUGUAAAGCACUUUAAGUUAGAAGGCGUUGCCAACAGAAUAAGCACCGGCUAACUUCGUGCCAGCCGCCGCGAUAAUUC